rnacentral:rRNA from 1 species
UACGUAGGGUGCAAGCGUUAUCCGGAAUUAUUGGGCGUAAAGAGCUCGUAGGCGGUUUGUCGCGUCUGCUGUGAAAACUGGAGGCUCAACCUCCAGCCUGCAGUGGGUACGGGCAGACUAGAGUGCGGUAGGGGAUGAUUCGGAAUUGCCGUGGUGGUAAGCGGUGGAAUGCGCAGAAUAUCAGGAGGAACCACCGAUGGCGAAGGCAG